rnacentral:rRNA from 1 species
AACUUUUAACAAUGGAUCUCUUGGUUCUCGCAUCGAUGAAGAACGUAGCAAAGUGCGAUAACUAGUGUGAAUUGCAUAUUCAGUGAAUCAUCGAGUCUUUGAACGCAGCUUGCACUCUAUGGUUUUUCUAUAGAGUACGCCUGCUUCAGUAUCAUCACAAACCCACACAUAACAUUU